rnacentral:rRNA from 1 species
CCUACGGGUGGCAGCAGUAGGGAAUCUUCCACAAUGGACGAAAGUCUGAUGGAGCAACGCCGCGUGAGUGAAGAAGGUUUUCGGCUCGUAAAGCUCUGUUGGUAGUGAAGAAAGAUAGAGGGAGUAACUGGCCUUUAUUUGACGGUAAUUACUUAGAAAGUCACGGCUAACUACGUGCCAGCAGCCGAGGUAAUACGUAGGUGGCAAGCGUUGUCCGGAUUUAUUGGGCGUAAAGCGAGUGCAGGCGGUUCAAUAAGUCUGAUGUGAAGGCCUUCGGCUCAACCGGAGAAUUGCAUCAGAAACUGUUGAACUUGAGUGCAGAAGAGGAGAGUGGAACUCCAUGUGCAGGGGUGGAAUGCGUAGAUAUAUGGAAGAACAGCAGCGGCGAAGGCGGCUCUCUGGUCUGCAACUGCAACUGACACUGAUGCUCGAAAGCGUGGGUAUCAAACAGGAUUAGAUACCCUAGUAGUC